UGUCCCAAUUCGCUCUUUUACCCUAUAUUUAAGUGACUCAACAACUGUUUGGCAAAUCUUGUGGAAUACUUUCAUUCUACUAUUGGACAACAGUAAUAUUUCAAAUCCUCAAACGGAAUGGUGGAAAUAUAAACUGUAUUAGCAAAAAUUAGAUGCCAUGAUCAACGAUUUCGAUCUUGACAAUUUGCGAUCCACUGCCUUACUAUAAAGAUGGCCUUUACAACAACAGUCACUAAUCUGACUAAAUCCUCUUUACUUAGCUGGCGCUGAUGACCACUUAUGCCAGGUGACUCUGCUAAUGCCUUUGUACAAGGGAAUAUAUGCCACUGGUGGCCUUUGACUUUGACUGGACGUUGUAGGCUGUUGAUGGCUGCUAAAAUGGCAUCUAACAGGGGUUUUAAUAGAUCUUUUAAGAAAUGUGUUGUUAUUGUUGCGGGCCCGCUAUCUCGGCCUAACCGCUAGAAGGCCUAGGCCGCUUCAGCUUGAUUAUUGUAUCGCCAGAUGGGGCGACCCCCUUUUUUCCCUCACUUCUUUUUUUGCACACACUCUCGGUUGAAGGUAAACGGCGAGAGUGUGUAGCAGUUGUUCGUGGGCUGUUAUUCAAGAGGGAGCUCUUACGGUUGACUGUCUGGCUACCCCUCGCGUUAAAUAUACUGUUUAUUAGUUCCUCAAAUUAGUGUACGUCUUAAUUCAUUAGUUCAGUUUAUUGUUAAACCGUAACAUUAUAGACAUCUUUGAUGGAGCAGCUAACAUGCCGUACCAAGUUUUUAUCAACGAGUGCUGUGCUACAGGAAAAACCGACAUUGAUUGGAUAUUUGAAGCCAUGGUAGUAAAGAAGCCAUCACUAGGCCCGAUUUUGAGAGCACGUGGGUUUUACUUCACGAUAAAAAGUGAAUUUAAGCAAGGGAAAUGGAUUACUCUGGGAGUAAAAGAGACGGUUGUAGAAGGCAAAGAGUUACGUUUGAAGAUUCUUAACAAUAUCGAAAUAAUAAAAAUGGACCAGUCCACAGAGCUAACUUUGAAAGCUAAACUUGAAUUCAUCUCGAGUACUUUUAACGGUACACAUAGUGCUGAUUUUACCUGUUCUAAUUCACAACUUAUCCUUUCAAAAUACUCACAAGGUUCUCGAUCCAGACAAUCUUAAGAGUCUUUUACGUUAAAGUCUCAUGGCUCUCCUUUGUUACAAUCUCAACAGAAUUUAUUUGAUGUGUAACAGGAGUUUGAUGCAGCAAGUACCGAAGAUGUUUUUACGCAAGUUUGUUUUUCCUGUAACUUAAAGAAAAAAUCAACACAAUGUUCAUUUAAACACUGCAAAAUUUAAACUGUCUACACAUUUUGGCUUCUUAAUUGACGCCAAGUUAAAAGAUCCUUUAAUGAAUGAAACUAUUUCUUAAAAGGAAUAUAGUUCUAUCAGUACAACAUUUCAAAGCGCAAUUGAACCUUUUACGCUGCAUCCUAACCCAGAUAGCAUUCGUUUUGUUGUGGGACAACUUUUUUUCAAGUUUUCUGUUCUCGUAAUUGACCAAGAAAAUGAAACGACAAAUAUGAGAAUUAUGUUAGAAAAAGAGAAUUUUUGAAAACAAGAUGCUUAUCAACAACCAACAAUUUUUUUGUAAAGGUGGACGGCCAAAAACAGAUGUUGCUGACGAAGGUCCCGAUGUAAAAAAACCGUAUAAACGCAGAUGAUCAACGUAUAAGUAUUUUUUUGCUUUCAAAUAUAUAACAUUGUGUGUAAUAAUGCUUUUUGAUUUUUCAUAAUUGCUAUUGAUGUGGAUUCAUACAAAGAUAAUACGAAAAAACAUCUAGAACUUCAUCGAAAAAUGGGUUAUAGCGAAAGCAAUACUUUAUUAUUGAAAUUGACGUUUGAAGGUCGAAGAAAAGUUAUAUUGGAUGGAAAGUACACGGACAUUUACGACAUCAUGAAGAGACAUUGCCCAGUGUUAAACCAAGCAAACUAUCUUCGAAUUGAAUUUGAGAUGUACGUGGGAAAAGAGGUUCGUGAUUUCAUGGCAAAGUGGUCCGAAUAUGUUCCACUUAUUCUGAAAGUGGCCAAGAAAAGUGCACCCAACAACAAAAAAAUGAGGAACCUGGUGGAUUUUUACAGGCGUACGUCAGACAUUUACGAGUGUUUUGGUAUAUAAUUUGGUUUUCGUACUUGGCACAACGCCUUGAGAAUUCAAAAUUAUUGUAAUGUUUACAUACAAAAUAUUUUGCCACCCUUGAGUUGCUGCCUCUUUUGCUUGGUGUCCACCCGUUUCAGUCCUUUUUUUCGGCACUUAAAUUUUUUCGUAUUCGGCACUGAUUUUGUCCGUUUCAGCACUGUGUUUGUAUUUUUCGGAACCACUCCCAGAUUUAGUACAAGACGUAACUUUUU